rnacentral:lncRNA from 1 species
GAGAGAAAAUGAGAGUGAGAGGGGAGGAGAGGCUGCCUAUAGCCUCUAAGGUAACAAAAUCCAGUUAGGCCCCUCAAAAACCCAAAAUUACAUCAGCCCGGACUGGGCAGUUUUCGCCCAGAGGGACCGGUCUCUCCCCAGCAGGGACCGGUCUCUCGCUACGAACCCGAAAAACCAGCGUUCGGGAACCGGUCUCUCCCUGCGCGGGACCGGUCUCUCACUGUGAAAACGCGUUCGGGAACCGGUCUCGCCUGCCAGGGACCGGUUGCCUCAGGCUGCCUCAACACUGCUCACUGGGGGAACCGGUCUCUCCUUCCAGGGACCGGUCCCCGAGAGUAAAAACUCUCAGGACUUGUCCAAAGUUCCAGAUUUCGAACUUUUCGGGUCGGGAAACAUUUUACAACCCUCCACCAAGUGUGGAAAAGCUCGAAAUACAUCCAAACACUCGAACCUCGCAAUUUGCAAAGGUCCAGUGUGUUAC